GUUAAUGAUUGAUAACGGCAUGUC
rnacentral:siRNA from 1 species